rnacentral:rRNA from 1 species
AAAAUUAUUAAAAGAUAUAAUCUUAAAAAUUAAAGAUUUUGGCGGUAUUUUAAAUAGUCAGAGGAAUUUGUUUUAUAAUCGAUAAUCCACUAAUUAAAUUAUUUAUAUUUUAAGUUUAUAUAUCAUUGUUUAAAAAAUUUUAAAAAAAGAAUUUUUUAAGUUUAAUAAUAAAGUAAUUCAGAUCAAGGUAUAGCUUAUAUAUAAAUCAAAAUGAAUUACAUUAAAGGUAUUUAUAGAAAAAUGUUUAAAAAUUUUAGAAAAUGGAUUUGAAAGUAAAAAUAUUAAAAUUAAUAUUUUGAUUAAAUUUUAAAAUAUGUACAAAUCGCCCGUC